CCCUGAGUAACRGCGAGCGAAAAGGGAAGAGUCCAGCACCGAAUCCGAWGGGCGAGAGCCCUGAGGAAAUGUGGUGUUUGGGAGCGAGCRACUCUCCGCGCGACCGAGGAGCAAGUCCCCCUGACCGGGGCUCUUUCCCAGAGCGGGUGCGAGGCCCAUAGCUUCUGGAAGCGCGGAGAAGGCAAACUCCUCGGAGUCGGGUUGCUUGGGAGUGCAGCCCUAAGCGGGUGGUAAACUCCACCUAAGACUAAAUACCGCCGUGAGACCGAUAGCAAACAAGUACCGUGAGGGAAAGUUGCAAAGAACUUUGAAGAGAGAGUUCAAGAGUACGUGAAACUGCUCAGAGGGAAACGGGUGGGCCCUCGAAAUCCUAUAGUUCCGAGGAUUCAGAG
rnacentral:rRNA from 1 species